UACGUAGGUGGCAAGCGUUGUCCGGAUUUAUUGGGUUUAAAGGGUGCGUAGGCGGCUUUGUAAGUCAGUGGUGAAAUAUGGCAGCUCAACUGUCAGGGUGCCAUUGAUACUGCAGAGCUUGAGUACAGAUGAGGUAGGCGGAAUUGACGGUGUAGCGGUGAAAUGCUUAGAUAUCGUCAAGAACACCGAUAGCGAAGGCAGCUUACUGGGCUGUAACUGACGCUGAGGCACGAAAGUGUGGGGGUCAAACAGG
rnacentral:rRNA from 1 species